AUGCGACUAGCCAUGGAGACCUCACCUCACCUAAAGCUUGUCUCGCUCGUUCUCCUGCUAGCCUUGUUUUCUCAUGCCAUCGCAGCACCACCCCCAUCCCUCCUGGAAGAACAGGCCGGAGCCCUUCUCACCUGGAAAGCCACCAUACACAGCCCCCCAGCCCAGCUGCAGUCCUGGGGAAGCAACACCACAUGGCCAUGCACCUGGUAUGGCAUCAAGUGCGGCGAGAACCAAGCAGGGCACCAGGAGGUCAUGAUCACCGAGAUAUCUCUGCGGGGUUUGCGGCUGAGAGCGGCGUUGGAAUCCCUCAACUUCACGGCGUUGCAUACUCUCACGAGUAUCCGACUCCCGUACAAUCAGAUAAGGGGCCCCUUUCCACCCACUUUAGCAUCAUCUUUGCCAAACCUGCGACACCUAAUGCUUCCAGGAAAUAAAAUCUUUGGUGAAAUACCAAGGCAAAUUAAACACCUAGAGAGCCUAGUGGGGCUGAACUUGUCAAAGAACCACCUAUCCGGUCCCAUCCCUAGUGAACUAAGCUAUCUAAAGAAGCUUGCCAAGUUAGAUUUUUCCAACAACCACCUCACAGGCCCCAUUCCAAAAAAUCUAUGGAAUUGUACUCAACUCACUAUCUUGUACCUAUGGGAUAACCAACUUUCCGGGAGCAUCCCACAAGAACUAAGUUACCUAGUGAAUCUAGAAUUAUUGGAUCUUGGCACAAACAAACUCACAGGUUCCAUCUCCAAUACCUUUGGAAAUUUGACCAAGCUCACUGCCUUAUACCUUGAUGGUAAUUGGUUCUCUGGUCAUGUUCCACGAGAAAUUGGCACCUUAAUGGAUCUCGGAUAUCUACAAUUUUAUGAUAACAAUCUCUCUGGCCCCUUACCACCUGAAUUGUGUGCUGGAGGUAUGCUCAAGAGAUUAAUUGCAUUUGACAACAAUCUCAAUGGACCUCUUCCAUCAAGUUUGGUGAACUGUAGAAGCCUAGAAAGAGUCCGCCUUGAAAGGAAUCAAAUAGAAGGAGAUAUUUCUGAGAUGGGGGUUUAUCCAAAUCUGGUCUACAUGGAUAUGAGCUCAAAUAAUUUGUUUGGUCAGUUAUCUUGUCACUGGGGGGAAUGUCAUAAUCUUACGAUGCUACGCAUCUCAAACAACAACCUUACCGGGGAAAUACCCGCAAGUAUGGGGCAGCUAUCUCAACUAGGGUGGCUUGAUCUUUCAUCAAACAAGCUUGAAGGAGAGCUUCCAAGUGCACUAGGCAAUCUAAAAAAAUUGUUCAACCUGAGCCUCGGGGACAAUUUGCUCCAUGGAAGCAUUCCACUAGAAAUUGGAGCACUAUCCAAUAUAGAGUUGCUGGAUUUGUCAUCAAAUAACCUAGAUGGGUUGAUACAAAAUUCAAUUGAGCAUUGUUUGAAGCUUCGCCUUUUGAAGUUGAAUCACAAUAACUUCGGAGGAAACAUCCCUCCUGAGCUAGGGUUAUUACGUAGCUUACAUGACCUAUUGGAUUUGAGUGAUAAUUCAUUUACUGGGGCAAUACCAAGCCAACUUAGUGAUCUGAUCAUGCUAGAUACUCUGAAUCUUUCACACAAUAAACUUAAUGGCUCCAUUCCGCCAUCAUUUCAGAGUAUGGAAAGCUUGACAUCCAUUGAUGUAUCUUAUAAUGAACUGGAAGGGUUGGUCCCGGACAGUAAACUCUUCCAAGGAGCUCCAAUGCAGCGAUUCAUGCAUAAUAAGAUGCUAUGUGGUGUGGUGAAAGGAUUGCUCCCUUGUCAUAGUGCAAAUCAGAGCAGAGGGGAAAGGAAAGGAUACAAAAUACUUGUAUUAGCCAUUGUUCCUGCUCUGCUAUCUCUUGUUCUUGCUGUGGUGACAUUGAUGUUCUGGCAUGAAAGGAAGAAAACCAAUGCAACUAACGACGAUAAAGUAACAAAAGAAAAAGUCUUCUCUAUCUGGGGUUUUGAUGGGGCAAAUGUGUUCAUGCAAAUCGUUGAAGCAACCAACAAUUUUAGCGAGAUGCAUUGCUUAGCAACCGGUGGGUAUGGAUCUGUCUACAAAGCUAGACUUCCAACAUGCGAAAUAUUUGCAGUGAAGAGGAUACACGUGAUAGAAGAUGAGCAUUGUGUGAAUGAGACAAUGUUCAAUCGUGAAAUUGAGGCAUUGGUGCAGAUCCGUCAUCGAAACAUCGUAAAACUAUUUGGGUAUUGCUCCUCUAACCAAGGCAGGUUCCUUAUCUAUGAAUAUAUGGAGCGAGGAGACUUGGCGAAAACACUGAAGGAUAAUGAAAGGGCAAUUGAAUUGGAUUGGAGAAGGCGGAUACAUAUUGUGUUGGAUGUGAUUCAUGCUUUGGCAUACAUGCAUCAUGAUUGUUCGUCACCAAUAGUCCAUAGAGAUAUAACAAGCAACAACAUUUUGAUUGAUUAUGAAUUUAGAGCUUGCAUCUCUGACUUUGGUACGGCAAAAAUUCUCAAUCUUUAUGGGUGGAAUCUUACAAGGCUUGCUGGGACCAAAGGCUAUCUCGCCCCAGAGCUAGCAUAUACAGAAAACGUGACGGAGAAAUGUGAUGUAUACAGCUUCGGAGUGCUUGUUUUGGAGCUAUUUAUGGGAUCUCAUCCAGGCGAUUUGCUCUCAUCCCUCUCGUUGGCCACCACGAAUAAUGAGCUGUGCCUGCAGGAUCUGCUGGACUCUAGGCUUAUGCUCCCGGAUGCUGAAACCGCCAGAGAUAUAUACCGCGUGCUUACUGUCGCAGCCCGGUGCCUGGAGCCGAGUCCAUCGCGCAGGCUAACCGCACGACGUGUCGGUGAUGAGCUAUUUACGAUUAAAGCUCGUGAAGAUCAUGUCGAUUAUUUGCACGCCGGCAUCACAUUUCCUGCACUGUAG
rnacentral:rRNA from 1 species